GCAGGGGACGUCAGGCCUUGGCAUUUAUUUCUUUUGAUUUUUAUCACAAGAUCGAUCACAGUUCAACCGAAGCUUCUGACUGUAAAUGAAUUUAACGAAAGAUCGUAAGAAUCAGGUGACAUGAGGGUGAACUGAUCCAGCUUGAAUCUUUCCAGUGCAGAGAAGUUUCACUUUCUAGGGCAGAUACGAUCAAAGUCUAAUACACCGCGUGUUGAGAGUGAAUGGUUCAGUGCAGCAGAAGUAAAUGAUCUGUUCUAGAAAAUCAACCUUCAUCAGAAUAUCUCAUUCAAGUACUUU